rnacentral:misc_RNA from 1 species
UUUUUUUUUUUUUUUGAGUUUUUCAGCAUCGAAGGAGUUGGAUAAAAUGAGAUUAUUAAUAUUAUUUUGUUCACUAAAAUUUUGUAACAAUUGUAGACUUGGGUGCAGGUUACUUCAUACAGGCAUCAAGGGGCUCAAGAAACUUAGAAUUAUGGUAUCAAUCACAACAGGAUUGUUCCUUCUACAAAAUAGAGCUGUGGCACAAAAGCAAAGGGGAGCUGCAAAUGGGAUUUCAAUGUCUGCGAUGUCCUUCUUCAAGGCAGUUGGUCCUGCUUCAGGAGGUUCUAUCUUUUCUUGGGCACAAAAGCGUCAAGAUGCUUUCUUUCUACCAGGUGAUCAAAUUGUUUUCUUCAUUCUAAACAUAGUUGAGGUGAUUGGACUGCUAAUGACGUUCAAACCUUUUCUAGCUAUACCAGAGAACCUUAUUUCAUAGUAGAAUUCUGGACUCCAACCAUGACAUCAAAGUUUAAGUGGUAGAUUGAAAUAUAUAAAGAUAUGUGUACUAGAUUUUGUACCUGCACAUGCAAUACAG